rnacentral:rRNA from 1 species
GUACUGUGCGAACGUUAUUCGGAAUCACUGGGCUUAAAGGGUGCGUAGGCGGCUAAACAAGUCGGGUGUGAAAUGCCUGGGCUCAACCGAGGCACUGCGCUCGAAACUGUUUAGCUUGAGUAAGAUAGGGGUGUGCGGAACUUCCGGUGGAGCGGUGAAAUGUGUUGAGAUCGGAAGGAACACCGGUGGCGAAAGCGGCACACUGGGUCUUAACUGACGCUGAGGCACGAAAGCCAGGGGAGCGAACGGGGAUUAGAUACCCCGGUAGUCCUGGCUGUAAACGUUGAGUACUUGUUGGGAGGGGCUUCGGUCUCUCCUGACGGAGCGAAAGCGUUAAGUACUCCGCCUGGGGAGUAUGGUCGCAAGGCUG